rnacentral:rRNA from 1 species
GGAAUCUUGCGCAAUGGGCGAAAGCCUGACGCAGCGACGCCGCGUGAGUGAUGAAGGCCUUCGGGUUGUAAAGCUCUGUGGAGAGGGACGAAUAAGGGUUGGCUAAUAUCCUGCCCGAUGACGGUACCUCUUUAGCAAGCACCGGCGAACUCUGUGCCAGCAGCCGCGGUAAGACAGAGGGUGCAAACGUUGUUCGGAAUUACUGGGCGUAAAGAGCGUGUAGGCGGCUGGGCAAGUCGGAUGUGAAAGCCCUGGGCUCAACUCAGGAAGUGCAUUCGAAACUGCCGAGCUCGAGUUCCGGAGAGGAAAGCGGAAUUCUCGGUGUAGAGGUGAAAUUCGUAGAUAUCGAGAGGAACAUCGGCGGCGAAGGCGGCUUUCUGGACGGCAACUGACGCUGAGACGCGAAAGCGUGGGGAGCAAAC